rnacentral:rRNA from 1 species
AGUGAACGCUGGCAGUAGGCCUAACACAUGCAAGUCGAACGGCAGCACAGUAAGAGCUUGCUCUUACGGGUGGCGAGUGGCGGACGGGUGAGGAAUACAUCGGAAUCUACUUUUUCGUGGGGGAUAACGUAGGGAAACUUACGCUAAUACCGCAUACGACCUACGGGUGAAAGCAGGGGAUCUUCGGACCUUGCGCGAUUGAAUGAGCCGAUGUCGGAUUAGCUAGUUGGCGGGGUAAAGGCCCACCAAGGCGACGAUCCGUAGCUGGUCUGAGAGGAUGAUCAGCCACACUGGAACUGAGACACGGUCCAGACUCCUACGGGAGGCAGCAGUGGGGAAUAUUGGACAAUGGGCGCAAGCCUGAUCCAGCCAUACCGCGUGGGUGAAGAAGGCCUUCGGGUUGUAAAGCCCCUUUGUUGGGAAAGAAAAGCAGCAGGUUAAUACCCCGCUGUUCUGACGGUACCCAAAGAAUAAGCACCGGCUAACUUCGUG